CUCUCAGGACUAACCUACAUUUCCUCAUUGGCCUGAGGUCCAAAAAGAUGAAGAGAGACAAGCCUCAGAGCACAAGCAGCUGAAAAGUCUGGAGGCAAAGAGAGCUUAGGAAAUUGCCAAAGGUCUUUCAGCUUUCACUCGACAGUGCCAGCUUUUGACAGAGGGCAUCUGGCUCCAGAACCCAUGCCCUGUCCACAGUGGUCACUGCUAUUCCUGGAGGGCCAUUCUGCUCUGGGGUUGGCUGCCAAGCAGACCUCUCCCCACCCUGUCAUCACUGUGCUUCACUUCUGAGGCUCCCACGUCAGCUUUGGAAAGGGCCUCCCUGCUCUUGCCAUGAACCCUGGGGUAGCCUUUCCUUGAAUUCAAGAAUCUCCCAGCUGAAGGAUCUUCAGAAGGGCACUAGCUUCCUCUUCACCUGGGCCACGUCUGGCUGAUACAGUGUCAUCUGGGACCUGUCAGGAAUGAGCAUUCUGCCCGGAAACCCAAGCAAACACAUACAAUCUGGAGAGAAGAGGAUGUGCCAGGAAGUCAAGAGGAGAGACAAGGCUGAGUGAAAGUGGCUGACUGUGGUACAGGCUUCAAGUCUUGACCUUGUGGGAAGUCGUGGACUCUGCUCACAGGUGUGAGGGCUACAGGUGCAGUGCUCUCUGGUGGGUACCCCUUCCUGCUUGAGAGAAAGCAGGACAGCAGAGUUCUUCUUUCCAAGAUAAAUAUGUAAUUAAAGAUUUAUUACCUCAAUCACCAAGUACCAGAUAUAAAUUCUGAAGGAGGAACACGGCUGACCCCAGGAACCAGAAGCCAGGAAAAUAAUAUAAAUUAGACAGGAGACAGACUUUCGUUUGGUGGUUGUUGUUUUGCAUUUUCUGUUUUUGCUUUUGUUUCUUUCUGCUGGGGAUUGAACUCACAGUUUCACACAUGCUAACCUCCUACCAUCAGACUGUACCAUGACCUCUGAAAUUCUGCUGUCACACAUUCAUUUAGGGCCUUUUGUCAUUGGAAUUCAUUCUCUGUCUGUCUGUCUGUCUGUCUGUCUCCCCCUCGUCUCCCUCCCUCUCUCUCUCUCUCACUCUCUCUCUCUCCCCCUGGUACUGGAAAUUGGAUCCAGGGACACUUUACCAUUGAGCUACACCCCUUCUUUAUGUUGGGGUGGGGGGUAUACUGGGAAUUGAACU